CCCCUGAAGGCCCCGAAAGCCUUGGGGGACCCCACACCGGAUUUAGAAACCCCGGGUAGUCCAACCCCGGUAAACCGAUGGAGGCCUAAGUUUAAGGGGUUUCCCGCCCCCUUAAGGCCUGCCAGCCUAACGCAUUAAAGCACUCCGCCUGGGAAGUACGGCCCGCAAGGCCUGAAACUCAAAAGGAAUUGACGGGGGCCCGCACCAACGGUGGAGCAUUGGUUUAAUUCCGAAGCAACGCGAAGAACCUUACCAGGUCUUGACAUCCCACUGACCGGUGUAGAGAUACACCUUUCCCUUCGGGGACAGUGGUGACAGUGGUGCAUGGUUGUCGUCAGCUCGUGUCGUGAGAUGUUGGGUUAAGUCCCGCAACGAGCGCAACCCUUGAUCUUAGUUGCCAGCAUUUAGUUGGGCACUCUAAGGUGACUGCCGGUGACAAACCGGAGGAAGGUGGGGAUGACGUCAAAUCAUCAUGCCCCUUAUGACCUGGGCUACACACGUGCUACAAUGGACGGUACAAAGGGUUGCCAACCCGCGAGGGGGAGCGAAUCCCAGAAAACCGUUCUCAGUUCGGAUUGUAGGCUGCAACUCGCCUGCAUGAAGCCGGAAUCGCUAGUAAUCGUGGAUCAGCAUGCCACGGUGAAUACGUUCCCGGGCCUUGUACACACCGCCCGUCACACCACGAGAGUUUGUAACACCCGAAGUCGGUGAGGUAACCCUUGUGGAGCCAGCCGCCGAAGGUGGGACGGAUCGAUUGGGGUGAAGUCGUAACAAGGUAGCCGUAUCGGAAGGUGCGGCUGGAUCACCU
rnacentral:rRNA from 1 species